rnacentral:rRNA from 1 species
UGGGGAAUAUUGGACAAUGGGCGCAAGCCUGAUCCAGCCAUGCCGCGUGAGUGACGAAGGCCUUAGGGUUGUAAAGCUCUUUUUGGCGGGGAAGAUAAUGACGGUACCCGCAGAAUAAGCUCCGGCUAACUUCGUGCCAGCAGCCGCGGUAAUACGAAGGGAGCUAGCGUUGUUCGGAAUCACUGGGCGUAAAGCGCACGUAGGUGGGCAGUUAAGUCAGGGGUGAAAGCCCGAGGCUCAACCUCGGAAUUGCCUCUGAUACUGGCUGUCUAGAGUCCGAGAGAGGUGGGUGGAAUUCCUAGUGUAGAGGUGAAAUUCGUAGAUAUUAGGAAGAACACCGGUGGCGAAGGCGGCCCACUGGCUCGGUACUGACACUGAGGUGCGAAAGCGUGGGGAGCAAACAGGAUUAGAUACCCCAGUAGUCCCUGAGCGGGCUGGCAAGGCGCAU